GAGCAUAUCCCAAAACAGAAUAUACCAUGAAGAUCAUAGAACAUGACCUAUGAUGGCAAGAGUAUACCAAAUAUAGAAUUUAAUAUCAGCAAUAGGCUUAAAUUUUGAUAUUAGAAUAAAGCAUUAAAAAGCCUUGACCCAAAAGAACCCGAACAACCCAAACACAAAAAAAUGAAUCCCGUAUAUCAGAACAACAACACAGCUGAAACCAACAGACCAACCAAUCAGCAAGAACAACACGACACAAACCAAAAGAAAACAGGAGACCAUAGCAAAACAGAAGCAGAGACAAUCGACAGAAGUAGCGAACAAGACUGUUGCUGCAACACAUAACUGCAGCAGUGCAACAAAUGGAACAAAGCUCACCGAAAAGAAAAACAUCAGCAGCCCCCAAACAUGACCCAACAGCCCAAAACCUAGAAAGUCCAUGGGAAUUGAAGCAAACCAACAGCCACACCAGCAGCAAGACAAAACCAACAGCAGCUGCACGACAUAGCAGCAAUACCGAGAACCACAACCACAAAGAUUUUCCUGUAUACACAUUAACACACAUUCGGAGACAGAUUUGUACGGCCUAUAUCUUGACACAUGUCACUAGUGUUAAGCUGGAAAAAAAGGUUAAAAGACCAUACAAAAGACUUGAUUUAAAUUUUGAAGGAACCUUUGCCUUUGAAUAUAGAAGCAUGAGCAAAAUGAGACAUUGGAUGACCAAAAAUACUUCAUUGCUUACAAAUAUUAAGUGCAUAUCUUCAAAUUUCAUCAGUGGCCCUUUAGAGUCAAGGAAAAUAUCUUACUUUUAAAGAAGAAAGUCCAAGAACAGCUCACCCACUGGUGUAACUUUAAUUUAUAUACAUGCCACAAGAGUAAACACUUUAUUCAGACUUUUUCCCAACUCAAAUGCACUAUAUAUUUUUUUUCUAUUUUUACUCCAAACUAUUUGAACCAAGAAGUAAAUAUUAAACAAGAUGUCAAUAAGAAACUGACUAUAGAUUAUUGUUUGGAGAUAUCUUACCGACUCAAGCACAAACGAAAGAAAUGCCCUCAGACUAGGAUCAGCAUCGUGGCGAACAACUUCUCCACAAUCGAGGGAAAAAAAUUAAGAAUAGCCCGAGUAACAAAAGAAUGGAAACUUUAAGCAAUACAACUACAUUAGCACACAUCUGCACAUGAACAGCCAUGGAUAAAAGGCAAUAUACAAGAAGGAAAAUAAUUAAACAACUAAGAGCUUCAUUACCAAAAUUAUUCAUAGCAUGACAAUAAUGAAACACAGAGCAGCAAUAUAAAUAUAUGGCAAGUUUAUGCCCAAACAGAGAAAGAACAAUAAAAAUUGAUCUGUAAACAGAUUCUAAUAGGAAAGUAAUAAAAAAAAGAUUUUGUUAAGCUGCGGAUAGACCCCGGCUAUCAAAUCCUCAUACUGUUAAGAUUUACACAGUUAGUAAAGUUUCUUCAUCCCAAAACAAGUUUUUAACCCAAUUUGGUUCACCCAAACAACUUUAAUCACUUCACAUAACAUGCAUAAAGACUACUUUAAUCUCAAAGCUUAACUAAAUUCUUCUAUUAAUGCUUGACAAUCUCUAAUAGGAAUUUUUACAAACACCCUAUGUGCAUCUUUUAUAAAAACAGAAUUCACAAACAUUUAGAGAUGGUUAAGCCCAGAAUUUUCUCCUUUAUAACUCCAUAUGAUUUACAAUAAAACCUCCUUAACAAUACACAGCCCAAUCACAACAGUUCCUCAAAAUCAACACAGCAAUUCUAACAAUACAAAGCAUAUUCUAACUAAUUUCUAUGAACUCAACAAAAACUCAUAGCUUACCUUUGUUUGCUGAAGUUUCUAAGAGUAAUGAUGCUUAAAUAUUGUUUUGAUGCCGAUAAUAUCUUUCAAUUUAGCUUGCAACUUCAACUCAUUGGAAAAAAAAAUCAGCCGAACUAAGUAGACUUUAGAGAGACAUGGAAUUGGUUUGGACCGGAUGGGACGGGUAAACUAAGGAAUGUAAAUGGCAGGGAAAACAGCUCUUAUUUGAUUCCUUUUAGUUAUCAGAUAAAAUAUACACUUCGUAGCUUUCUAAUGAUCUAAAACCAUGACAACUUAGGCAUAUAUUUUAGCUUAGUCAUUCUAACCAUGGAUUAAAGUAAGCCACCUCCUGUUCCUCUCUAAUAUCAAGCUUCCUUUUUGUUUCUUAAGUCCCAG
rnacentral:lncRNA from 1 species